rnacentral:rRNA from 1 species
UGGGGAAUAUUGGACAAUGGGCGAAAGCCUGAUCCAGCCAUGCCGCGUGUGUGAAGAAGGUCUUCGGAUUGUAAAGCACUUUAAGUUGGGAGGAAGGGCAUUAACCUAAUACGUUAGUGUUUUGACGUUACCGACAGAAUAAGCACCGGCUAACUCUGUGCCAGCAGCCGCGGUAAUACAGAGGGUGCAAGCGUUAAUCGGAAUUACUGGGCGUAAAGCGCGCGUAGGUGGUUUGUUAAGUUGGAUGUGAAAUCCCCGGGCUCACCCUGGGAACUGCAUUCAAAACUGACUGACUAGAGUAUGGUAGAGGGUGGUGGAAUUUCCUGUGUAGCGGUGAAAUGCGUAGAUAUAGGAAGGAACACCAGUGGCGAAGGCGACCACCUGGACUAAUACUGACACUGAGGUGCGAAAGCGUGGGGAGCAAACA